GUCUUUCUUAGAGACUUUUUGCGUCACGUUUCACAAUUUGUUCUGGCAAUCUUUAACUGAAUACAAUGUGCAUUUCCCUCGCUAUCCAAUGUAGCAAUUUGAUGCUGCAAUUGGACGUCGGGGAACAAAAUCC